UAAUAAGUGUUUAUGGCACUUUUUUAAAAUCCAUAUCCACCUUGUGUGCAAUGUUAAAAAUGUCGUUCCAGUUUCCUGGGUGAGAUUUUUUUUUAUACAUCAACUCUUUCUAAAACCUAUUUGUCUGAAAAAUAUUAUGAAUUACUUAAUUCAAAAUA
rnacentral:misc_RNA from 1 species